UACGGAGGGGGCUAGCGUUGUUCGGAAUUACUGGGCGUAAAGCGCACGUAGGCGGAUAUUUAAGUCAGGGGUGAAAUCCCAGAGCUCAACUCUGGAACUGCCUUUGAUACUGGGUAUCUUGAGUAUGGAAGAGGUAAGUGGAAUUGCGAGUGUAGAGGUGAAAUUCGUAGAUAUUCGCAGGAACACCAGUGGCGAAGGCGG
rnacentral:rRNA from 1 species